rnacentral:tRNA from 1 species
GCGCACUUAGAUCAGUGGUUAAAACACCCUUCUAGAGUUCGGGAAAACAGGUCACAGGUUUGAGUCCUGUAGUGCACA